rnacentral:lncRNA from 1 species
UGUUUGUGAUUUCCAUCAUCUAGAUACUGUUUUGCCAAGCUGACCCUCAAAGACUUACUAUAUUUAAUUAUAAAAAUAACAUCUCAAAACUGGUAAACAAUGUCUGUGCCUCAAAUUAUUAAAAUAGCAAUCUAUAAAAAGCAUAUGGGGAGCCCAACUAUGUGACUCUUGUUGAAGUCUUCGUUACAGUCACAGUGGAGGUGGGCUUUAAGGAGAGAGAUUCAAGAGAAUAAUAUAACGGCUGUAAAGAUCUUCAUACGUGAAGCUGAAAGUGAUGGAGCAACUUCAGACAGUUCACAGCUAAACAUCCUCCCUUUUGGAAGGUAUCCAACCCAAACGCAAGAGGAAAUCCUUGAAGCUGGUGGAAAAAUUCCCAUUAAAUCCAAAGGAGGAUUUAUCAGCACGUAUGCUUUCCUGACCCAGAUUCCUUUGACUGCGAAGGAAGUUGAUUCCACCCUGCCUUGUAUUGAUGGAGAUGGAAAACCAUGGAUUAUCCUGCUCUACAACAAUCCUUUUAUACUGUUAUCAUGUUUCUGUGACACUUCUCUUUUGUAGAAUGAAUGAAGACAAUUCUUUCAACUUUUUCUAAGAGGUUGAGGAUUUUUUAAUAUUUUGUUACUUUAUUUCUCUCCUCUGGACAGUUUCCCUUUUGUCUAGGGCACUGUUUAAGUGAAAUGUCCACAGCAAAAUGCUGUUGCACAACAAAAACUCCCCAGAAAAUAAAAUAAGCUGUAUAAAAGGAAUGAAUAGGUAG